UGCCUAGCAACUCCUAUCCCUACCUCCACGCGGUACCGGCCGGAAACUAUGAGCAACCUUAGGGAAGAUCGGGUAACCAACCCCGGUGGGACCUUUGGUCGUAGGCUGACAGGGAAGG
rnacentral:ribozyme from 1 species